AGUGAACGCUGGCGGUAGGCCUAACACAUGCAAGUCGAACGGCAGCACAGUAAGAGCUUGCUAUUACGGGUGGCGAGUGGCGGACGGGUGAGGAAUACAUCGGAAUCUACUUUUUCGUGGGGGAUAAAGUAGGGCAACUUACGCUAAUACCGCAUACGACCUACGGGUGAAAGCAGGGGAUCUUCGGACCUUGCGCGAUUGAAUGAGCCGAUGUCGGAUUAGCUAGUUGGCGGGGUAAAGGCCCACCAAGGCGACGAGCCGUAGCUGGUCUGAGAGGAUGAUCAGCCACACUGGAGCGUGGACACGGUCCAGACGCCUACGGGAGGCAGCAGUGGGGAAUAUUGGGCAAUGGUCGGAAGCCUGGUCCAGCCAUACCGCGUGGGUGGAGAAGGCCUUCGGGUUGGAAAGCCCGUUUGUUGGGAAAGAAAAGCAGCAAGUAAAUACGCCGCUGUUCGGACGGUACCCAAAGGAAAAGCACCGGCUAACUUCGUG
rnacentral:rRNA from 1 species